CACACCACUUGCCCAGAAACGGAGAGUAGCAGGAUGGACCUAUAUAAAUAACAUCAUCCACAGUCAUCGGAAUGCACUUUCAGACACACACAUGGACUGUGAUCAGCGGUGUUUCAAUAACCAAAGAUGCUAACCCCGUUUUUGGAUCAGGUAUCCUCUUGUAGACGAGUGAAAGCAUGGCCACCAACAAGGCUGGACAUUUUUGAAACGGAUGCUCAUUCUGGAGUUGUGAUGUGUAAGAAGAUGUUUGCUGACCACCUUGACUGCGUGGAACCGUUGCCUUGAAUAAAUGAUUAUAUGUUUAGCUGAUUUUA